rnacentral:misc_RNA from 1 species
UGCCCUCAAAUUGAAUUCUUCUUUUAGGGGGUUCACAGAAGGAAUGAAAUCUUCAAUUCAAGAUGGUGAUAAUAUAAUUGCUGCAAUUCAAUCUUCUGAAAUUCUUGAGGAUGACCAUGGAGUGUUGAUGGAUAAAUUUGAUUUUAUUCCAAGGAACUUUAUAUCAGAAUUUUUUUCUUGUUGCUGGGGUUGUUCUUGAGGAAAAAAUGAAGCAGUGGAGGGAAGAAAUUGGGUGUGGAGGCAUCAGUCUUAUAGCGGUUGUGAUAUGGAAUUGCAAUUAAAUAAUCAUGUGAUCCUUAAAGAAGAGAGUUUUGAAAUGUGGAGAAGACAAAGGAAGAAGAUGAAUCUUUAUCAGAAGAGGACCUCUAUCAUGAAGGUGUUUCUUGAAAUUACUAUGCAAAGA